rnacentral:rRNA from 1 species
UACGGAGGGGGCUAGCGUUGUUCGGAAUUACUGGGCGUAAAGCGCACGUAGGCGGCUUUGUAAGUUAGAGGUGAAAGCCCAGGGCUCAACCCUGGAAUUGCUCUCAAAACUGCAAGACUCGGAUUCGGGAGAGGAUAGCGGAAUUGUCAGUGUAGCAGUGAAAUGCGUAGAUAUUGACAGGAACACCAGUGGCGCAAGCGGCUAUCUGGACCGACAUCGACGCUGAGGCACGAAAGCGUGGGGAUCAAACAGG